ACAACAAUAUUUAGCAAGGUCUUUAGAGGAGCUGAGCAGCUGCAAUUCACUCUGUCUAAUCCCACUGGCUUCAAACAGAAUUACACAGGAUGUAAAUCAGGACAGAAUUUAGCCCAUCAUCCUCAGAAAUAUUUACCUUUGUGGCAGGUUCUUCUGAAGAACAAUGGAAAACUACAUGGCAGUGUCCACUGCAUGGAGGCAGUUUUUCCACUAACUGUAUAUUCAAAGAUUGCUGUUUGGCAAAAGCAGAGAGAUGGAAAAUAUCCACUCACAUUUAAAUUGUUACACUUUUCUCUAUGGUCAUUGUGACAAACAUGGUACACUAAUAUUGUCUGUAAUUUCAAUAUAUUGGGGAUUCGAGUAUGUUUUUAUACAGACACUUGGCAGGAAUGGUGGCCUGACUGUUUUUAUGCCACCAUCCUGCAUGGUGAUGUGGUAAUGCAACCACACUCCCCAUCUGAUCCUGCUAAAUGAGAAACGGGAUUUGGUGGGAUGCAGAAUAGUGGACAUUCUGGAAUGGAAAAAAGAUUGACAACUAUUACAGUAGCACAUAGGUGGAGGACAUCUGAUCACUUUCAUCUCCCUUAUUCCAUAUUACUGUCCUGGCUAGGCUAUUUCAGCUAGAUUUGUGGUGACCUGAGGCAGCAUGCAAACCCUUGGAACUCUUCAAGGCAGAUGGAUGAAGCAUUCUGCUACAAAUAUUGGGAGAACCCAAGUCCCCUAACCUCUCACUUGGGCUCAUUGUGUUUCCUUGGGAAAGUCCUUCUGUGUACUACUUCAUCCCUCUGUAAAAUGGGGGGUGAUCA